rnacentral:lncRNA from 1 species
ACAUAGAAGUUUUCUAGCUCCAUUUGACAUCCACUUCCCACAUAAGGAUCUUGUGAUCGGCUCUACAUAAAAAAAUAGUUUUCUUUCAUCGCACAUUUCAAUUAAGGUACGGAUCACCUAUAUAUUAUUUUCUCAUAAGAACAAUGAAUAAAGUUAUUCUUCAGUCUAGUCUCGAUAGUGUUUCUCGUUGGAUUUCCUCAAACCCGUACGAUCGAUCCAAGGAAAUAAACGGAACGCAAAACCGUAAUCAAGGUUGAUGAUCGAGUGGAGAGGUCACGUAGCAUGGGCCUUAGGAAAAAUAAAUGGGAAAACCUAUGUUAUCUUUUGAUUUGAACUUUGUAUAAACAUUUAAGAUUUUUAUAUGUUAU